rnacentral:rRNA from 1 species
CGGCAUNCUUUACACAUGCAAGUCGAACGGUAACAGGGUGCUUGCACCGCUGACGAGUGGCGAACGGGUGAGUAAUGCGUCGGAACGUGCCGAGUAGUGGGGGAUAACGCAGCGAAAGUUGUGCUAAUACCGCAUACGUACUGAGGUAGAAAGUGGGGGACCUUCGGGCCUCACGCUAUUCGAGCGGCCGACGUCUGAUUAGCUAGUAGGUGAGGUAAAGGCUCACCUAGGCGACGAUCAGUAGCGGGUCUGAGAGGAUGAUCCGCCACACUGGGACUGAGACACGGCCCAGACUCCUACGGGAGGCAGCAGUGGGGAAUUUUGGACAAUGGGCGAAAGCCUGAUCCAGCCAUGCCGCGUGUCUGAAGAAGGCCUUCGGGUUGUAAAGGACUUUUGUCAGGGAGGAAAUCCCUAGUGCUAAUACCGCUGGGGGAUGACAGUACCUGAAGAAUAAGCACCGGCUAACUACGUGCCAGC